GACGAACGCUGGCGGUGUGCUUAACACAUGCAAGUCGAACGGUAAGGCCCUUUCGGGGGUACACGAGUGGCGAACGGGUGAGUAACACGUGAGUAACCUGCCCUCAUCUCUGGGAUAACAGUCGGAAACGGUUGCUAAUACUGGAUAUGAGCCUGCAAGGCAUCUUGUGGGUUGGAAAGAUUUUUUGGUUGGGGAUGGACUCGCGGCCUAUCAGCUUGUUGGUGAGGUAGUGGCUCACCAAGGCUUCGACGGGUAGCCGGCCUGAGAGGGCGACCGGCCACAUUGGGACUGAGAUACGGCCCAAACGCCUACGGGAGGCAGCAGUGGGGAAUAUUGCACAAUGGACGGAAGUCUGAUGCAGAAACGCCGCGUGCGGGAUGACGGCCUUCGGGUUGUAAACCGCUUUCAAUUGUGACGAAGCUUUUUGUGACGGUAGCAGUAGAAGAAGCACCGGCUAACUACGUG
rnacentral:rRNA from 1 species